CUUAAGUUGUCUUUUGCCAGGAGAUGUAUUGCAAGCUGUUAAAAUGUUUAUUUGAUGUUUACAAUUACAUUUGUACAUGUAUAUAUAUAACAAUGUAAAGACUACAAGUUUGUACCUAUCAAAUGGGCAUAUAAAGUAUUUAUCUGAUCAUAAUCGUUUGACAAUGAAUGUGUUUCAGUCUCUUUUUUUCUUUUAAAAGUUUGAAAAGCAGUUCAUGUCAGGUUUUUGUUCUUGUUCUUGGAACGUGAACAGAAACAAUUGCUGCCGGAAUAAUAUGUUCAUAAGGAAUGAAUAGACUUUUAAUUCAUUAAUCAGCUUAAUAUUUACAUCCCAGCUCCUUUGUUCUAACAGGAGGAUCUGAUCCGGAUCACCCCUACCAGAUCACCCCAGUUUGGUUUCUGUUAUGAUGCUUUCCUGUGUUCUGAAACAUUUUGGCGGGAA
rnacentral:lncRNA from 1 species